AGGGUGAACGCUGGCGGCGUGCUUAAGACAUGCAAGUCGAACGAGAGAGCUUGCUCUCUAGUGGCGCACGGGUGAGUAACGCGUAACUGACCUACCCCGAAGUCUGGAAUAACUGGCCGAAAGGUCAGCUAAUACCGGAUACCCAGAUGACUCGUGAGUCAUCUGGAAAGAUUUAUUGCUUUGGGAUGGGGUUACGUUCCAUCAGCUAGUUGGUAGGGUAAAGGCCUACCAAGGCGACGACGGAUAGCCGGCCUGAGAGGGUGGCCGGCCACAGGGGGCACUGAGACACGGGGCCCCACUCCUACGGGAGGCAGCAGUUAGGAAUCUUCCACAAUGGGCGAAAGCCUGAUGGAGCGACGCCGCGUGAGGGAUGAAGGUUUUCGGAUCGUAAACCUCUGAAUCAGGGACGAAAGGCGCUUUAAGCGAGAUGACGGUACCUGAGUAAUAGCACCGGCUAACUCCGUGCCAGCAGCCGCGGUAA
rnacentral:rRNA from 1 species